UCCAAACCGCACGCAACGGACAGCAGUAAAAAACUGCCCCACACAUACGCACCUCACGCGUCCCAGCGAAGAAGAAUGAGAAAACGGUGGAGAGAUUAGAGCCGGCUCCGAGCAGCCGAACAUCGCCUCUGCGGAGAGGCUGCGCCGCACAGCCGUGAGGACCAGAGAAGAGUACGCCACCGGGCCAGGAACCUGCUGCCGCGAACCGCCGCGGCGGGCAGGGAAGGAGAGCCGCCGCGGAUUUGGGAGGAGCGUCGUCGCAGGGGUAGGGAGAGCGCCGCCCGGACCAAGCUCCUGCUCGACCGAUCAAGGACUCUCAAUUCCGGCCGCCUGCAGCACAUCAGGCCAUCAGCUAACAGAAUGGCGGCACCGGGCAAAGCUAGCGGUAUGCAACAGCAGAGAGGCCGUUGAUUUGCUUAUAUCUGGUUCUGCUAUUAAGUUACUGAAGCAAGACACCUUUUUCCUAUUGUUCUGGUGAAUUCGUCUCAGUGCAUUCAUCCUCUGAGUCAUCUGAUAUCACAACAGAUCUCAAGUCUCCUUAUAUUGCCACUAUGGGGCUCACGUGCUGGCGCUGCUGAUAUAUUGUGUUGACGCCCAUCUUUGUUUAAUGUACUCCCAUUACUGUCAAUGUGAUUUCUCUUUCACACGCAUUAGUUCACAUGAAAGUUUGCCCGGUAAAACUUUAUUAUUCUGUGACUGCAUACAUAUAAUUUUUUUUAAUUAGACACAUCUCUAAAAUCUGAAGUGUGCAUAGUUAAAAAAUCAAUUACCUCUUUAUCUGGCAUGUUCUGCUUCUUCAUUAACAUGGUGUCCACCUCAUCAUCUAUCAAUUCCUGUGCAACAUAUGUAAGAUGAAUUAGUUAAGGAAUUCUAAAGAUGGUACUUCAUAUUUUUGGAAAAAGGUUAUGCACCUUUACCUCCUCAGCUUUAUCGUUCAAGUAGAGCAUCUCAAGGCCAUCAUCAGGAAAAAAUGUUCUUUUUACUGCAUAGUGUUGUGUGCCAGAGGUCAGAUUAUAUCAUUGAAAUUGAAUCAAAAUAUAAGUUUUUCCACAUAAUUUUUUAAUAAUCUUUGGUGCUUCUUAUGAUUUCCCAUCUGGUGAGUCGGCAAGUUAGAUGUAGAUGUAUUAAGCAAGUUAUUCUUCUCUACACGGGCUUCAUUUGUGUUAGUAGUCCAAUGACAUAUGUAUAUUUUAAGAUUAUUGAUAUAACAUUUAGAAAUAUCAAUUAUAUGGAAGUUGUAAUUACAACUAUCGACAUACCUGAGCAUUGUGUAUCUUUC